rnacentral:rRNA from 1 species
AUGUACAUUCCUACAACAUAGCAUUAAUGCAUCAAAUCCCAUUAGAAAUCUGUAGUUAAGCAUGCUUGGGCUAGAGUAGUACUGGCAUGGGUGACCGCCAAGGAAGUCCUAUUGUUUUACAUG